UACGUAGGGGGCGAGCGUUGUCCGGAUUUAUUGGGCGUAAAGAGCGUGUAGGCGGUUCGGUAAGUCUGUCGUGAAAUCCUGAGGCUCAACCUCGGGCGUGCGAUGGAUACUGCCGGGCUAGAGGGUGGUAGAGGCGAGUGGAAUUCCCGGUGUAGCGGUGAAAUGCGUAGAUAUCAAGAGGAACACCUGCGGCGAAGGCGGGUUGCUGGGCCGACACUGACGCUGAGGCGCGAAAGCUAGGGGAGCGAACGGG
rnacentral:rRNA from 1 species